AUGUCCUCCUCUUGCAGCUGCCUCUCUCCUCCCGUCUCCAUCCUUCUGCUCCUCUCACCUCACUCCCUCUCCCCUUCGCCCACUGGUUCCCUGCCCACAUUUCACUUCUCCCUUCUUUUCGCCAUCGCUUUCCAUGCUUACGGCCAUUCCUCCUUUCUCUGCUGCCCCAAACCCUGGGCAGCCCCAGUUUAUGGUCACCCAUCGCUGAGGCCGCCCACAGCCUCCGCUCUCCCACCCCACCUCUUCUUUGUUGUUAUUUUAAUACGAGGUCUUCUGGAAGCGGGGGGGGGAUUAACCUGUGAGAAGCGCCACGCUGACCCCAGGGGCUGCAUCCCAUGGGACGGGGACAUGGGGGCCAUUGGGGUCGGACUGGGAGCGUGGCUCUGGGCGAAGGGCUGCUCCUGGCACCGCGCUCCCCAUCGCACAGCGCUGCGCUCCCCGGAGCCCUUCAUGUCUGAACAGCUCGUGCGCCGCCCGGGCAAUCCCUCCCAAUUAAGGGCAGGGAAAGCAAAGGAGCCCGAGCCCGCACGGCUCUUUGGUAGGCAAACACACAGCGCCCGGGGCCCUGGCACGCUGCCGCCGUGCUCAGGGUGUCGCAAUGGGUGGGCAUUCACAGCAAGCUCCUGGAUCGGCAAGAAACGCGCGGGCUCCACCCGACCGCCGCCGAUGUGCUGCCCGGGCGCGUCCGUCUGGCUCCGGCAAGGAUCGAGCGGGCGGCACGGAGCUGUGGGUGCUGCAGUGCUGAGCCCUGUGCACAGCGCUGCGCCGAGCCCUGCAGCCAGCCCUGCACCGAGCCUUGCACCCAGCCCUGCACCGAGCUUUGCAUCCAGCUCUGCACCGAGCUCUGCACCCAGCCCUGCACCGAGCUCUGCAUCCAGCUCUGCAGCCAGCCCUGCACCAAGCUUUGCAUCCAGCUCUGCACCGAGCCUUGCACCCAGUCCUGCAUCCAGCCCUGUAUCGAUCCCUUUGCUGAGCCCUACACUGAGCCCUGCAUCAAGUCCUGCACCCAGCCCUGCACCCAGCCCUGCACUGUGCCAUGCACCCAGCCCUGCACCCAGCCCUGCACUGUGCCAUGCACCCAGCCCUGCACCCAGCCCUGUGCCUCACUGCCUGGCUGGACCCCCCCUCACACCGCUUUCCAUCACGUUAGCCUCGGUUGAUUUAACCAGAAAACAACCCCAGAAUUUAAUUCCCUGGCGCUGCUUCUCCCAUCCUGAUCAGGAGGCGGCCGCCCGCUGCCUGCGCCUGAGCUGA
rnacentral:lncRNA from 1 species